UCCACACGUACCCAUCCCGAACACGACCGUUAAGCCCUCCAGCGCCGAUGGUACUUGGACCGAAGGGUCCUGGGAGAGUAGGACGUUGCCAAGC
rnacentral:rRNA from 1 species